UAUGGUUGAGAUAAUGUUGAGUCAAAUCUUUAUUUUCUGAAUUCAUGUAAAUUUGAGAUUUUUCUGGCUGUUUUACCACAUCUACCUCUUUGCUGCUACAGAUUCUGGAAGCACCAAAUGAUGAAGUUUCUUUGCUUUUGGAGAUAUUUGGGAAAUUGAUGCAGGCCAUGGACUGCGUUCCUUUCUGCAUAGUUCUGUGUCCCAACUACGUUUCCUUUCUGCAUGGUCAUGUUUGUUACUUAUGCCCUUACUUUUUUCUUUUCUGAGCUACAAGUAGGACAUCAUCAUGGCAUGUAUGCACUCAUGAUGCAGAGAUUCUAGAGCAAAUGGAUCGGGAUCUUCCGCGAACGCAUCCAGAUAUGAAAUUUUUCUCUGGAGACUCGUCACUUGAAAGCAACGAAAGACGUUCUUUCCCUGUUUGCCAAAUUAAAGGAAUGAAUGAAGUCUUAGGCCCACUCUACUUGGUAUGUAGGACAGACUUUGAUGAGCAAAAUGCAGUGA